GACGAACGCUGGCGGCGUGCUUAACACAUGCAAGUCGAACGGAAAGGCCCUGCUUUUGUGGGGUGCUCGAGUGGCGAACGGGUGAGUAACACGUGAGUAACCUGCCCUUGACUUUGGGAUAACUUCAGGAAACUGGGGCUAAUACCGGAUAGGAGCUCCUGCUGCAUGGUGGGGGUUGGAAAGUUUCGGCGGUUGGGGAUGGACUCGCGGCUUAUCAGCUUGUUGGUGGGGUAGUGGCUUACCAAGGCUUUGACGGGUAGCCGGCCUGAGAGGGUGACCGGCCACAUUGGGACUGAGAUACGGCCCAGACUGCUACGGGAGGCAGCAGUGGGGAAUAUUGCACAAUGGGCGGAAGCCUGAUGCAGCAACGCCGCGUGCGGGAUGACGGCCUUCGGGUUGUAAACCGCUUUCGCCUGUGACGAAGCGUGAGUGACGGUAAUGGGUAAAGAAGCACCGGCUAACUACGUG
rnacentral:rRNA from 1 species